rnacentral:rRNA from 1 species
AGAGUUUGAUCCUGGCUCAGAUUGAACGCUGGCGGCACGCUUAACACAUGCAAGUCGAACGGCAGCGGGGGAAAGCUUGCUUUCCUGCCGGCGAGUGGCGGACGGGUGAGUAAGGCGUAGGAAUCUAUCCUGAAGAGGAGGAUAACCCGAGGAAACUCGGACUAAUACUGCAUAAAUUUCAUUAUUUAGGUGAAACAAAGGGAGGGGAUUUUAUUUAUAAAACCUUUUGCUUUGGGUUGAGCCUACGCUGGAUUAGCUAGUUGGUGAGGUAAUUGCUCACCAAGGCGACGAUCCAUAGCUGGUUUGAGAGGACGACCAGCCACACUGGGACUGAGACACGGCCCAGACUCCUACGGGAGGCAGCAGUGGGGAAUCUUGGACAAUGGGGGCAACCCUGAUCCAGCGAUGCCGCGUGUGUGGAGAAGGCCUUAGGGUUGUAAAGCACUUUCAGUGAGGAAGAAGAUUAACUUAUGAAUAAUGAGAUAUGAAGACGUUACUCACAGAAGAAGUACCGGCAAACUCUGUGCCAGCAGCCGCGGUAAUACAGAGGGUACGAGCGUUAAUCGGAUUGACUGGGCGUAAAGGGCACGUAGGCGGAUAUAUAAGUUAGAUGUGAAAUAGUUGGGCUUAACCUGAUUGCUGCAUUUAAGACUGUAUAUCUAGAGUUUGAUAGAGGAGAGAGGAAUUUCCGGUGUAGCGGUGAAAUGCGUAGAUAUCGGAAGGAACACCAGUGGCGAAGGCGACUCUCUGGAUUAAAACUGGCGUUGAGGUGCGAAAGCGUGGGGAGCGAACAGGAUUAGAUACCCUGGUAGUCCACGCCGUAAACGAUGAGAACUAGCUGUUGGCCCUGCACCUUUUAGGUGCAGGGCGAGUGGCGAAGCUAACGCGUUAAGUUCUCCGCCUGGGGACUACGACCGCAAGGUUAAAACUCAAAGGAAUUGACGGGGGCCCGCACAAGCGGUGGAGCAUGUGGUUUAAUUCGAUGCAACGCGAAGAACCUUACCUACCCUUGACAUCCUGCGAACGCUGUAGAGAUAUGGCGGUGCCUGAAAGGGAGCACAGAGACAGGUGCUGCAUGGCUGUCGUCAGCUCGUGUUGUGAAAUGUUGGGUUAAGUCCCGUAACGAGCGCAACCCUUGUCCUUAUUUGCCAGCAUAUAAUGGUGGGAACUUUAAGGAGACUGCCGGUGAUAAGCCGGAGGAAGGUGGGGACGACGUCAAGUCAUCAUGGCCUUUAUGGGUAGGGCUACACACGUGCUACAAUGGGCAGUACAAAGGGAAGCGAACCCGCGAGGGGGAGCGGACCUUCCAAAGCUGUUCGUAGUCCGGAUUGAAGUCUGCAACUUGACUUCACGAAGUUGGAAUCGCUAGUAAUCGCGAAUCAGAAUGUCGCGGUGAAUACGUUCCCGGGCCUUGUACACACCGCCCGUCACACCAUGGAAGUGGGUUGUACCAGAAGUAGGUUGAAUAACCGCAAGGGGUUUGCUUACCACGGUAUGAUUCAUGACUGGGGUGAAGU